rnacentral:lncRNA from 1 species
AAUUUAUAAUAAAAAUUCAAAAUCUGAAUUAUAUUUCAGAUUUUGAAUUUGCUCGACUAAAAUUCAAAGCAACUGAUCAGUAGCAAAAAAAUAAGUUCGGUGUACGAGAAGGAGGCAAUAACAAACUACUCCACAAAAGUUCCAUUGGCCCUGAAUCUCUCACUUUAAAUUAAAUCUCUAACUAAUUUCAUUGUUGUUAGAUGUGACUCGAAAUCUACUAUCGAUUCAGGUUCGGAUUUACGACUCGCCGACAGCUUCGCGGUGCGACCAAUUUGGAAAAGAAAAUUAUGGAGGACAAAUGAAUGUCUGUGGUGGGUAGCGGAGGGAUCGGAUCCGAAACCCGUUAUGAGUUUUUUCUUUUCGUUUAUCGUUUAUGCCCUAGAGGCGUGUGAUCGUGGUUGGUUGUACAGAAGAACAUUGUAUUCCCUUUUCGUUCCAUAGUGAAGAUCUCUCCUCCCUCGCCCGUGAUUUUUCCCUGCAAAGGGUUUUUCACGUAAAUCUGUGUCUCUUUAUUUUUCUGCUUGUGGUUUGAUUGUUUUUUGUGUUCGUCAUUUUCGUUUUCGUUUGUGCGUUUAUCGUAACAAUUGUAAAUUUACUUUAGUUAUACAUGAUAACAACAUAACAGAAAAAAU